CAUCAUCAUGCUUUAAAGAAUUAUAAUUUCCUUAUUUUCAAGAUAAGUGACAAAUAAUCUACAUGUUUUCUAUCUAUAGUGCUAUUAUGGCUUGUGGCAUUUCCGUAUGAUGUUCCAUGGGAUAUCACAAUAGAUGAAUUAUGCAUAAGGACUUUUUUAUACCUGCUGCUGGAAGCAGACCACUACAGAAAAUGUUCAUGAAAAUUUGAUUCAAGCUGUCGUAAAGAAGUAUGACAUUCUUUUCAUAGCGGAUGAGGUCAUCUGUGCCUUUGGAAGGCUUGGGACAAUGUU